GGUACAUCGGUGACAGGUGGUGCAUGGUUGUCGUCAGCUCGUGUCGUGAGAUGUUGGGUUAAGUCCCGCAACGAGCGCAACCCCUAUUGUUAGUUGCCAUCAUUCAGUUGGGCACUCUAGCGAGACUGCCGGUAAUAAACCGGAGAAGUGGGGAUGACGUCAAAUCGUCAUGCCCCUUAUGACCUGGGCUACACACGUGCUACAAUGGUUGGUACAACGAGUUGCGAGUCGGUGACGGCGAGCUAAUCUCUUAAAGCCAAUCUCAGUUCGGAUUGUAGGCUGCAACUCGCCUACAUGAAGUCGGAAUCGCUAGUAAUCGCGGAUCAGCACGCCGCGGUGAAUACGUUCCCGGGCCUU
rnacentral:rRNA from 1 species